CACGUAGGGCGCAAGCGUUGUCCGGAAUUAUUGGGCGUAAAGAGCUCGUAGGCGGUCUGUUGCGUCCGCUGUGAAAACUCGGGGCUUAACCCCGAGCCUGCAGUGGAUACGGGCAGACUAGAGGUAGGUAGGGGAGAAUGGAAUUCCCGGUGUAGAGGUGAAAUUCGUAGAUAUUGGGAAGAACACCGAUGGCGAAGGCAGCUCUCUGGACCGUUACUGACGCUGAGGCGCGAAAGCGUGGGGAGCAAACAGGG
rnacentral:rRNA from 1 species